UACGGGGGGGCAAGCGUUGUUCGGAAUUACUGGGCGUAAAGAGCGCGCAGGCGGUCGUUCAAGUCGCGUGUGAAAGCCCCCGGCUCAACUGGGGAGGGUCACGCGAUACUGCUCGACUUGAAGGCAGGAGAGGGAAGUGGAAUUCCCGGUGUAGUGGUGAAAUGCGUAGAUAUCGGGAGGAACACCAGUGGCGAAGGCGACUUCCUGGCCUGUUCUUGACGCUGAGGCGCGAAAGCUAGGGUAGCAAACGGG
rnacentral:rRNA from 1 species